rnacentral:lncRNA from 1 species
CACAGCUUAAUGGUGACUAACUCCAGUUCUUUGGAGGAGAUGACAGGGAAGGAAGUGACCCUGUUCUUUUUCUCCUCUUUUGAACAGGGGCUUCUCUGUAGUAGCACUCUGGAUUCCGAACUCCUGGGUUCUCUCUUUCUUUUGACCAACUUGGUCUGCGACUUUAGAAAAGCUAUGCCACGUUCUCUGUGCUUCAGUUCUACCUCUUGCUCAAAGAAAGUUUGCCACAGCAGAGAGCAGCCCUCAAGGAGCUUAAAAUUUGGACAGGAAGAUAGAGCAAAUAAAAAUUAUUAGAAA